rnacentral:rRNA from 1 species
GAUUAACGCUGGCGGCGUGCCUAACACAUGCAAGUCGAGCGGCAGCGAGUUUUACACUGAAUUCUGGAAGCUUCUAGUUGAAAGAGAAGAUUUAUUCAAGAAUUUUGUGUAAAAUGUCGGCGAGCGGCGGACGGCUGAGUAACGCGUGGGAACGUACCCCAAAGUGAGGGAUAACGCAUCGAAAGGUGUGCUAAUACCGCAUAUGGUCUUCGGAUUAAAGCCUUCGGGCGCUUUGGGAACGGCCUGCGUAAGAUUAGAUAGUUGGUGGGGUAAUGGCCUACCAAGUCGACGAUCUUUAACUGGUUUGAGAGGAUGAUCAGUCAGACUGGAACUGAGACACGGUCCAGACUCCUACGGGAGGCAGCAGUGAGGAAUCUUCCACAAUGGGCGAAAGCCUGAUGGAGCAACGCCGCGUGCAGGAUGAAGGCCUUCGGGUUGUAAACUGCUUUUAUAAGUGAGGAUUAUGACAGUAACUUAUGAAUAAGGAUCGGCCAACUACGUGCCAGCAGCCGCGGUCAUACGUAGGAUCCGAGCGUUACCCGGAGUGACUGGGCGUAAAGAGUUGCGUAGGUGGUUCAAUAAGCGAAUAGUGAAAGCUGGUGGCUCAACCAUUCAGACUAUUAUUCGAACUGUUGAACUCGAGAGCAGAAGAGGUAGCUGGAAUUUCUAGUGUAGGAGUGAAAUCCGUAGAUAUUAGAAGGAACACCGAUGGCGUAGGCAGGCUACUGGGCUGUUUCUGACACUGAGGCACGAAAGCGUGGGGAGCGAACCGGAUUAGAUACCCGGGUAGUCCACGCCGUAAACGAUGGAUACUAGCUGUUUGGGGUAUCGACCCCCUGAGUAGCGAAGCUAACGCGUUAAGUAUCCCGCCUGUGGAGCACGAUCGCAAGAUUAAAACAUAAAGGAAUUGACGGGGACCCGCACAAGCGGUGGAUCAUGUUCUUUAAUCCGAUGAUAACCGAUAAACCUUACCAGGUCUUGACAUCCUUGGAAUCUUUCAGAAAUGAGAGAGUGCUUUUUAAGAGCCAAGUGACAGGUGAUGCAUGGCCGUCGUCAGCUCGUGUCGUGAGAUGUUUGGUUAAGUCCAUCAACGAGCGCAACCCUUGUCAGUAGUUGUAUUUUUCUACUGAGACUGCCCCGGUAACGGGGAGGAAGGAGGGGAUGACGUCAGGUCAGUAUUUCCCUUACGUCCUGGGCUAGAAACGUGAUACAAUGGCUAGUACAAUGCGCAGCGAAGCCGCGAGGUGAAGCAAAUCGCAUCAAAGCUAGUCCCAGUUCGGAUUGUAGGCUGAAACUCGCCAGCAUGAAGUCGGAAUCGCUAGUAAUCGCAGAUCAGCAUGCUGCGGUGAAUACGUUCCCGGGUCU